rnacentral:rRNA from 1 species
UACGUAGGUGGCAAGCGUUGUCCGGAUUUACUGGGCGUAAAGAGCGCGCAGGCGGUCGUGCAAGUCGCGUGUGAAAGCCCCCGGCUCAACUGGGGAGGGUCACGCGAUACUGCUCGACUUGAAGGCAGGAGAGGGAAGUGGAAUUCCCGGUGUAGUGGUGAAAUGCGUAGAUAUCGGGAGGAACGCCAGUGGCGAAGGCGACUUCCUGGCCUGUUCUUGACGCUGAGGCGCGAAAGCUAGGGUAGCAAACGGG